UACGUAGGGGGCAAGCGUUGUCCGGAUUUAUUGGGCGUAAAGAGCGUGUAGGCGGCCAUGUAGGUCCGUUGUGAAAACUCGAGGCUCAACCUCGAGACGCCGAUGGAAACCAUGUGGCUAGAGUCCGGAAGAGGAGAGUGGAAUUCCCGGUGUAGCGGUGAAAUGCGUAGAGAUCGGGAGGAACACCCGUGGCGAAGGCGGCCAUCUGGACCAGCACUGACGCUGAGGCACGAAAGCGUGGGGAGCAAACAGG
rnacentral:rRNA from 1 species